GACGAACGCUGGCGGCAAGCUUAACACAUGCAAGUCGAACGCCGUAGCAAUACGGAGUGGCAGACGGGUGAGUAACACGUGGGAACGUGCCUUUCGGUUCGGAACAACUGAGGGAAACUUCAGCUAAAACCGGAUACGCCCUUCGGGGGAAAGUUUACGCCGAAAGAUCGGCCCGCGUCAGAUUAGGUAGUUGGCGGGGUAAUGGCCCACCAAGCCGAUGAUCUGUAGCUGUUCUGAGAGGAAGAUCAGCCACACUGGGACUGAGACACGGCCCAGACUCCUACGGGAGGCAGCAGUGGGGAAUAUUGGACAAUGGGCGCAAGCCUGAUCCAGCUAUGCCGCGUGGAUGAAGAAGGCCUUCGGGUUGUAAAGUCCGUUCGGCGGGGAAGAUAAUGACGGUACCCGCAGAAGAAGCCCCGGCUAAUUUCGUGCCAGCAGCCGCAGUAAAAC
rnacentral:rRNA from 1 species